ACCACCACCACCACCACCACCAACACCGUCUGACCAGCAGAGCUCUGGAAGUGACCGCCUCGUUAUUGAUACAGAGGAGGAGGAAAUGGGGGAGCCUUCAGGCCAGCCUGAUGUCACUUACGUGGACUCUGAUUCGUCGGAGCCGCCACAGUAUAUGAUUAUUGACAGUGAUGAGGAAGGGGAUGAGGAAGGGGAGAAAAAGCCCUCUCCCCAACUUGGUAAGUAAACUAAAGUAUUGUACUGUACUGUACAUUGUGUUAAACCAAUGGGUUGGGUUUGCAUGACCAGCAGUCAGGAUUCUAGCGGUUAGGUGUAAAGUAGUGUAUU